UACGUAGGGUGCGAGCGUUGUCCGGAAUUACUGGGCGUAAAGAGCUCGUAGGCGGUUUGUCGCGUUGUUCGUGAAAUGCCACAGCUUAACUGUGGGCGUGCGGGCGAUACGGGCAGACUGGAGUACUGCAGGGGAGACUGGAAUUCCUGGUGUAGCGGUGGAAUGCGCAGAUAUCAGGAGGAACACCGAUGGCGAAGGCAGGUCUCUGGGCCGAUACUGACGCUGAGGAGCGAAAGCGUGGGGAGCGAACAGG
rnacentral:rRNA from 1 species